UACGUAGGGCGCAAGCGUUGUCCGGAAUUAUUGGGCGUAAAGAGCUCGUAGGCGGCUUGUCACGUCGGGUGUGAAAGCCCGGGGCUUAACCCCGGGUCUGCAUUCGAUACGGGCUAGCUAGAGUGUGGUAGGGGAGAUCGGAAUUCCUGGUGUAGCGGUGAAAUGCGCAGAUAUCAGGAGGAACACCGGUGGCGAAGGCGGAUCUCUGGGCCAUUACUGACGCUGAGGAGCGAAAGCGUGGGAAGCGAACAGG
rnacentral:rRNA from 1 species